rnacentral:lncRNA from 1 species
CUUUCACAGAAGCGUGGUUCGGCAGGCACAGCACCUGCAGAUAGCAAAGUCCAUUUCCUGGGGCCAACCCAGCAGGGCAUCAGGAAGAAGAUAGAAUGAGAAGGGGAAAUGAAGGAGAGAGGGAGAGAAAACCAGAAGAGCAUGUAAAGCAACCACAGGCAGAGUUAGGGGGGAGUAGUGCCUCUGAUGGAAUACUGCGUGCAGUUCUGGUCACCAGUGUUCACUAAAGAUUAAUUCACUCUGGAACAGGUACAGCAAAGAGCUACCAGGAUGGUCAGAGAAAUGAAGCGCCUAAUCUUACGAGAAAAGACUGGAGGAGCUUGGCUUGUUUCAGACUUCAUUUUGUUAGGCUAGAGGAGAUAGGAUUUCUCUCUGUAAAUAUAUAUUGGGGUGUAAAGGGAGGGAGAAGAGCUAUGUAAGCCAGACAGUGCUGGCACAAGAACAAGUGGGUAUAAACAGGCUGUGCAUACAUUCAGGCUGGAAAUCAGAAGGAGGUUUCUAAUCACCAGAGGAAUGAGGUUCUGGAAAAGCCUCCCAAUAGGAGGAAAGGGGGAAAGAAACCUAACUGGUUUUAAAAUGGAUCUUGAUGCAUUUAGGAUUGGGAUUAUAUGACAGAUUUGCCUGUAACAGCAGCGGACUGGACUCAGCGACCUAGCUGGUUCCUUUUAGUCCUACAUUGGAUAGGAUGGGCAGGGGCUAGUUUCCUGUCUGCCUUUCUACAUCCACUUUGUUUCUGCUCUGCCGUCAGUUUUGAUUGCUUGAUUGAAGUCUCCACAGCGGCUGUGGUCAUCAGGACAAGGCAUUCACCUGCUUCCAGCUCUGCUCGGAGAAAGGAACUGUGUUGUGAUUCCACAUCUGGCAGGAACCUGGCAUUGCAUCCACUUCACCACAACUGCUGGAAAGAACCUGUGAAAGGUAACCAGUGAUUGACCUCCAAACCACCGAUACCAGGAGAAGAGCUGGUGACGGAAUCUGCAGAGAGAGAGACACCCAUCCACUUCCGAGGGGUGGCAGGGAAUGACCUGACUCCUGCUCCCCUGAGGGUAAUGAUCUCCCUCUAUGCCCCUUGUUGUGCCUCAUUUGCCUGUCAGUGGCCUGAGCUACAUCACUGAGAU